rnacentral:rRNA from 1 species
CCUACGGGUGGCAGCAGUGAGGAAUAUUGGUCAAUGGACGCCAGUCUGAACCAGCCAAGCCGCGUGCAGGAAGACGGCUCUAUGGGUUGUAAACUGCUUUUGUACGAGGGUAAAUCCCGAUACGUGUAUCGGGUUGAAAGUAUCGUACGAAUAAGGAUCGGCUAACUCCGUGCCAGCAGCCGCGGUAAUACGGAGGAUUCCAGCGUUAUCCGGAUUUAUUGGGUUUAAAGGGUGCGUAGGCGGUUCGAUAAGUUAGAGGUUAAAUCCCGGGGCUCAACUCUGGCACUGCCUCUGAUACUGGCGGCCUAGAGUGUAGUGGCGGUAGGCGGAAUGUAUGGUGUAGCGGUGAAAUGCAUAGAGAUCACACAGAACACCGAUUGCGAAGGCAGCGUACCAAACGACGACUGACGUUGAGGCACGAAAGCGUGGGGAGCAAACAGGAUUAGAUACCCGUGUAGUC